rnacentral:rRNA from 1 species
GAUGAACGCUGGCGGCGUGCCUAAUACAUGCAAGUCGAGCGAACAGACGAGGAGCUUGCUCCUCUGACGUUAGCGGCGGACGGGUGAGUAACACGUGGAUAACCUACCUAUAAGACUGGGAUAACUUCGGGAAACCGGAGCUAAUACCGGAUAAUAUUUUAAACCGCAUGGUUCAAUAUUGAAAGACGGUUUUGCUGUCACUUAUAGAUGGAUCCGCGCCGCAUUAGCUAGUUGGUAAGGUAACGGCUUACCAAGGCAACGAUGCGUAGCCGACCUGAGAGGGUGAUCGGCCACACUGGAACUGAGACACGGUCCAGACUCCUACGGGAGGCAGCAGUAGGGAAUCUUCCGCAAUGGGCGAAAGCCUGACGGAGCAACGCCGCGUGAGUGAUGAAGGUCUUCGGAUCGUAAAACUCUGUUAUUAGGGAAGAACAAAUGUGUAAGUAACUAUGCACGUCUUGACGGUACCUAAUCAGAAAGCCACGGCUAACUACGUG